rnacentral:lncRNA from 1 species
GUGAUCCUCUGAUUAGCAAUGACUAGAAUGAUUCUUCAAGCGAAUGUGCUUCAUUCUUGAAGGAAAUUCUCGAUUGUUUUCAUGCUGAAUCAUGGGCAUUCAAGUUGAAGGGAGAAGAUCUUCUUUAAUUGUUAUUUGACUUGCAGAAUGUUGACCGUAAUUUUUUUUUCUUUGAGGUCGAUGCUAACGAUUGCAGUCAUGUGUGCUCCAUGUUGACUCUGGGACCGCCAUUUCACCUGCUAAAUACCUGAGCAAUGGGUUCUAUUAACCCAGAAAAUUCAUUGACGAUCAGAUAAUCGGAAAAUCUAGAGAGAGAGAGAGAGAGAGAGAGAGAGAGAUGAUGAUGAUGAUGAUGAGCAGCUUACUUGUUCGAAGUGCACCGUGAGUAUUUUUUUUUUUUUUUUUUUUUUG